CCCGAAACUGCAAAGAAAAAUGCCCUGGAUGACUUAAUCUGAAAAGACCAGAGGGCAUGGAAAUAAUUUCAGUUUUGAUCUUGAUGCAGAAUUAUGCUGACUUCUACUGCUCACCUUCCUUCAGCCUUUCUGCUUGACGGCUUCCUCAACCUCCUCUGAAGUUUUCAUCUGAGUCCAUGAAGAGGAUGAUGCAAUAGAUGACAACAAGCAUUUGGAUGAAUCCCUGCAUCUAGCCUUGGACGACGUUCAUGCCACCUGGCAGGCAUUGUGUGAGGCAGGUGCCAUUGGUGCCCUCACUCGACAGCCCGGGAAUCUGAAUUACAGGGGUGAUAAGUAAAACUCGCUGAUCACAAGAGCUGAACUGAGGAGCCCAGGGCGUCUGGCUGCAAAGUCUUAGCUUUCACCGUUACCCUGUUGGCUUCCUACCUGGGAAAAACUCCCCUCCUGGAUCUGAAUGUUGUAAUGUUUUCCUCACUGAAAAUAAGUGUCUUUGUAUCCUUUUCAGCUAAUGCAAAAUUUGGGUCUAUGUACUUGCCCAAGGUUGCAGGAUCAUCUUUGCAGGAAGUGGACAGAAUGAGACGGCCUCUCAGUCCAGCUGGAGGGAUUCAUGAUUGGGUGUUUUUAAAGAGGUCUCUCGAUCUUGGAAUGACGAAGGCCAUGUGGGCCCCAUUUUUAAGCAGUUACAUUUUCUCCAGCUAGGCC